AUGCAGUCCCCCCUCAGUGCGCAAAAGCAUGAAAAAAGACAGACAACCAGAGCCAUUGUUGCUCCAGAGGGGGGGGGAAAUCAUGCAGACAUGCCCAUAACUCACUGCGAAAUUCCAUAGCGGUGUCCGCAUAGCCUCACAGGGUCCUCGUGCUUUGGCCAAUAGGUCCGUCUAUUGGCCAUUAAUUGGAAACGAAGCUCUUUUGUGGAUCUCAUGUGCACUUAUCCGUUGCCCCCCCAGGAGCGACCAGGAUUCAAACCUGAGCGGUUCACAUUACAAAGACUUCUACUACUUCCUCAUAAGGAUUUGACAGGGUUUGGGCAUGCAGCCAACUAGAUCUGCUCCUCUGGCGCGACUCAAGACAGGAAGCUGAUAUAAAAGAAUAGGGGGACCCAACAGGAGCCGAGACAGAAGCUACUGAAGACGCUGGAAGUUAUUGUUUCUACUUUUAAGAGUCCCGACUGGCAACAAUUAUAUCAUUAAUUGUGACGUCAAAGAGCAGGUAGGGGAUCUCAAGUAUUAUUUCUGCACAUACGCCUGUGGCCAGUAAACAAUACAACAAUGUGAUUGUAAAUUGUAAUUGCCUAUAGCCUCCACUUAUAGCUCAAUGAUAGCAAAACAGCUUCAAGAGGCCAGCACAUUACUGAUCAAAUGAGAGCUUGUCCUAUAUACCUGUUUAGUAUAUAUUAAUAAAGUUGUAUGUGUGAUGUUUUUGUCACUAAG